AGAGUUUGAUCAUGGCUCAGAUUGAACGCUGGCGGCAGGCCUAACACAUGCAAGUCGAGCGCGAAAGGGUUUCGGCUGAGUAGAGCGGCGAACGGGUGAGUAACGCGUGGGAAUCUGCCUGGUAAUGGGGGACAACAUCUCGAAAGGGAUGCUAAUACCGCAUACGCCCUAAGGGGGAAAGUGGGGGAUCUUCGGACCUCACGUUAUCAGAUGAGCCCGCGUCGGAUUAGUUAGUAGGUAGGGUAAAGGCCUACCUAGGCGACGAUCCGUAACUGGUCUGAGAGGAUGAUCAGUCACACUGGAACUGAGACACGGUCCAGACUCCUACGGGAGGCAGCAGUGGGGAAUAUUGGACAAUGGGGGCAACCCUGAUCCAGCCAUGCCGCGUGUGUGAAGAAGGCCUUCGGGUUGUAAAGCACUUUAAGUUGGGAGGAAGGCUUUAAGGUUAAUACCCUUGAGGAUUGACGUUACCAACAGAAUAAGCACCGGCUAACUCCGUGCCAGCAGCCGCGGUAAUACGGAGGGUGCAAGCGUUAAUCGGAAUUACUGGGCGUAAAGCGCGCGUAGGCGGCUAUUUAAGCUAGAUGUGAAAGCCCCGGGCUUAACCUGGGAAUUGCAUUUAGAACUGGAUGGCUAGAGUAUGGAAGAGGAGUGUGGAAUUUCAGGUGUAGCGGUGAAAUGCGUAGAGAUCUGAAGGAACAUCAGUGGCGAAGGCGACACUCUGGUCCAAUACUGACGCUGAGGUGCGAAAGCGUGGGGAUCAAACAGGAUUAGAUACCCUGGUAGUCC
rnacentral:rRNA from 1 species